rnacentral:rRNA from 1 species
UUAAUAGUAUGAUCUGCUCAAUGAAAUUUUAAUAGCCGCUAAUAGUGCUAAGGUAGCAUAAUCAUUUGUCUUUUAAAUAAAGACUAGAACAAAAGAUUUAACAUUUUAAUUAACUUUUUUUAUUAAAAUAUUCAACUUUUUAUAAAGGUUAUAAAACCUUAUAAAUUAAAAAGACGACAAGACCCUAUCGAACUAAACUUCAGUUUAACUGGGGCAGUAAAUUAAUUAUUAUUUUAAUAAAAAAUUUUUCUUAAAAAUCCUUACAAUUGAUUAAUAAGUUACCAUAGGGAUAACAGCGCAAUAUUAUUUUAAAGACCUUAUAUAAAAUAAAGAUUACGACCUCGAUGUUGAAUUAAUAACCUAAUUAAAGCAAAAUUUAAAACAGGAAGUCUGUUCGACUUUUAAACAAUUACAUGAUUUGAGUUCAGACCGGUGUAAGCCAGGUCGGCUUCUAUCUUUUAAUAAAAUUUUUGUAGUACGAAAGGACCUAAAAAUAAAAUAUAAUUUUUCUAUAUGGCAGAUUAGUGCAUUAGAGUUAGAAUCUAAUUAAAU